UACGGAGGGUGCAAGUGUUAUCCGGAUUCACUGGGUUUAAAGGGUGCGUAGGCGGGUAUAUAAGUCAGUGGUGAAAGCUCCGAGCUUAACUUGGAAACUGCCAUUGAUACUGUAUAUCUUGAAUAUCGUAGAGGUUAGCGGAAUGUUGCAUGUAGCGGUGAAAUGCUUAGAUAUGUUACAGAACACCAAUUGCGAAGGCAGCUAACUAUGCGACAAUUGACGCUGAGGCACGAAAGCGUGGGGAGCAAACAGGG
rnacentral:rRNA from 1 species